ensembl:lncRNA
AAAGAACUUAAGAGCGUGAGCUAAGAUGGUACAUUGAUUUGUACAGCAGGAGACACCCGCCAGCUCUCAUGGAUGCAGACACAUCUGUGUAUAUGAAUUGUGGCACUGCCUUUUGGUACAGGACACCACAGCCGUGCAAGCACAGCAGCGGGGAAAGACAGGUACUAGGAGAGGGUCAGAUUUACCUGGCAUCGGAUGAGAAAGGCUACAGAGCAUCCUGAAGACUGGCAAGUUGUUGGCUUCAAAGACUUGGUCGUGGCUGAGAUGUUAGUUUACAAGAGGUACCAGUCAUUUCAACCAUGCCUCAUUAGGGCACCAUGUUUUGUCAGGUACGUGCCUCUGCUCUUGUUCCAUGUCCCAAACCUUUCCUGACAGUCUUGCUUCAGACCAGAGCUGUGUAGCAUUAAGCUCUCUAAGGUUUCAGAAUUGGCCAGCAAUGAAUUGAUUUUGUUUUCAGCUUGUAUAGAGAUCACCAUCAGUUCUCUCAGACAAAGUCUAAGACUUGUGCUAACCCAUUUUUUCUCUGCUUUUGUCACUGUAAGGCAUGUUGGGCUCUUUAAUACUGAUGUGGCUGCAUGAUAACAGCAAUGAAGAUAAAUUACCUCAAAAAUAGGCAAUAAGCCUUUUAGCUCUUUACAGCAAAUCAAAGCUGCUCUGAACAGCCCACAGAUGAAAGAAUGGCUGUUUAUCUUCAUUUACAGCUACUAUGGAGAGGCACCAGCAUGUAAAUUCGUUGGCCCAGGGGCAACAGCUGAAGUUGUGAAGGAGUCAUAGGGUUUGCCAGUAGGAGAGGAGGAACCCCCUCCUCCCCUCUGCCAACCCAUGCCGUUAUGUGCUAAAUAUUGCUUCUGUGGCCACCUCAAGAUUUUUAGUUAAGAAGUGGCAGUCACCAUAGGUGAUGACAUCCCCUGCCACUGAGGCUGCCAUCUCUGUCACUGUGCUGAUAUAGUAACAGCGCAAAAGGAGGGGUUAUUUAAAUGCACAAAUGUCAACUAAGGCUUUAGACUCCUGGAGUGCUAGCUUGUCCCUCCUAGCACGGGGCAUAUGAGGGAAUCAUCUGUCAGCAUUUGACAAGUCUUAAAGCAGAUGUUGCUUCCUUUUUUCUCCUCCCCACAAGAAGUAUGACUUGUUGUCUUCUUCCAAUGUGAAGAGCAGAACUUCCUUAUUGGAACUCACCCAGUGGUUAACAGGCAUUUAAGGUUUGCCCAGAGAGCUAAUUCGCAUCUUGUCUCACAAGUGAGGCACUCUUGAUUAUCAGCAGGGAGUACCAUAUACAAGGCAAGUAGAAAUUGCAGACACCUUACUGGAAGCUCCAGGGAUGGGCUGAACCUGCCACCAUUGCCUCUCUGAGGGAGUAACACGUCUGAAGUAAUAGACACAAACUCCUUAUUACAUCCACCUUGUAUAAUAGACCUGCAUGGUGGCCAAGGGAAAUCGGACACAGAUGUGAGAGAUGAUAAAUAAUUAUAAACUCAUUUUUAUAUAUUUUUUUGUCUCAAUUUCGUUUUCUUGCUCACGGAUACUGUUCGAGCAAUGCCUGUUAAUAUGAGGAAGCACAUAUCCACAACCACCUUAUAUACAAAGAUAACCGGUUCAGGCCUGCUGACUGUGUUUUCUUUUUGUUUCCAGACAGCAGCAGGGGAGAAGUUAAUGGUGCUACGCUUGGUUGCAGUGUUUCUGUCAUUGCUAUCAUACUCUGCAAUUCCUUAUUGCUAUUUUCUGGCAAAUCUGCUUCUCAGCAAUACUUGCUUGGUAGAACUCCUUUGGGUAUUUCAGUUUCAAGUUUGAUCUAAUUCACUCUCACUAACAGGACAUCACCUUGUGUUAGG